GGAAUGGAAGGCGCAUGGUAAUGAAUGAGGCACACCAGCAUAUGACCGAGCCAACAGCAAUUCCGCUCAACAAAUUAUGAGGCUAUGAGGUUGUCCACGCAUUGCCAAGUAUUACAAAGGGGAAUAUUAGAGAGUUACAAGAGAGGGAGUCCCUCACGUGGGACUCAGAACCUCUUUCUUUUUCUCUCUUUGAUUCGUUCUCUCGGUUAUCUCCCUUAUCUAACCACCGUGUAAACACCUAAACGCAUAUUUUCUCACCCAAAAAAAAUCAAACCCGGCGACUUUGUAAGAACAUGUAUGAACAUCAUGAAGAUGUUCAUACUUAAAAACCUAGGUAUCGUGAAAACCACAUCAAACAACCAAACAUUCAACACAACCUUAGCAUAAAAUCCUAUCCUGAACCUGAAUCCAUUCUUAAAAUUAACAUUCAACCUUACAAAUUCAUAAAUCAAGCCAUACAGUUCCGAAAAAAUCCUAUAUCAUAAUUUCAAUCAAAACUCCAUAAAAACAUCAAUUAUCAAGGGGGGACAAUCAUCCAGUCAUGCAACAAUGUUAUACAUGCAAGAAAUAAAAAAAAGGAUGAAGAAUAGAGCCUCGUCGGAGCCUAAAACUUUGAUGAGAGCUCCAACGAUCAAUAUCCAGAAGUGUUCUGAUUCUUUCACUAUAACUUGCUGCUUCUGUUAUUGCAUUACCCUCAUUCUUCUACUCCUUUCUUUGUUUAUGAAUCAGUGUAAGUGAUAGCAUGAAGGUCAUGGACACGAGGAAGGGACAAAUAUGAUGGUGCCAAAUAGUGAUGAAGAGCUCGUGUGUACCUAAGACAAAUGCAAUCCUUUCUUUAUUUUUUGUAUAUUUUUCUCUUAUUAUUUUUGUAUUUUUAUUUGAAUAUGUAAUGUAAUAUAUGAUAUUUGACAAUUAUGAAAGUAAAAAGUAUUUUUAUUCAAUAAAAUGCACUUACUUGGUAA